rnacentral:rRNA from 1 species
UACGGAAGGCAGCAGUGGGGAAUAUUGCACAAUGGGCGAAAGCCUGAUGCAGCUAUGCCGCGUGUAUGAAGAAGGCCUUAGGGUUGUAAAGUACUUUCAUCGGGGAGGAAAAAACAAAACUAAUAAUUUUAUUUCUUGACGUUACCCGAAAAAGAAGCACCGGCUAACUCCGUGCCAGCAGCCGCGGUAAUACGGAGGGUGCUAGCGUUAAUCAGAAUUACUGGGCGUAAAGAGCACGUAGGUGGUUUUUUUAAGUCAGAUGUGAAUCCCUGGGCUUAACCUGGAACUGCAUUUUGAAACUGAAAUACUAGAGUAUCGUAGAGGGAGGUAGAAUUCUAGGUGUAGCGGUGAAAUGCGUAGAUAUCUGGAGGAAUACCUGUGGCGAAAGCGGCCUCCUAAACGAAUACUGACACUGAGGUGCGAAAGCGUGGGGAGCGAAACAGGGAUUAGAUA